AGUGGCAGACGGGUGCGUAACGCGUAUGCAACCUACCCUGUACAGAGGGAUAGCCCGGGGAAACCCGGAUUAAUACCUCAUAGUAUUAUUUUGUGGCAUCACGGGAUAAUUAAAGUUAAGGCGGUACGGGAUGGGCAUGCGUCUGAUUAGCUAGUUGGUGGUGUAACGGACCACCAAGGCGAUGAUCAGUAGGGGUUCUGAGAGGAUGAUCCCCCACACUGGCACUGAGAUACGGGCCAGACUCCUACGGGAGGCAGCAGUAGGGAAUAUUGGGCAAUGGUCGGAAGACUGACCCAGCCAUGCCGCGUGCAGGAAGAAGGCCUUCUGGGUUGUAAACUGCUUUUAACUGGGAAGAAAAGACCCAUGCGUGGGGCACUGACGGUACCAGUUGAAUAAGCACCGGCUAACUCCGUGCCAGCAGCCGCGGUAAUACGGAGGGUGCAAGCGUUGUCCGGAUUUAUUGGGUUUAAAGGGUGCGUAGGCGGCUUUAUAAGUCAGGGGUGAAAGCCGGCAGCUUAACUGUCGAAAUGCCUUUGAUACUGUAGAGCUUGAGUACAGAUGAGGUAGGCGGAAUUGAUGGUGUAGCGGUGAAAUGCAUAGAUACCAUCAGGAACACCGAUUGCGAAGGCAGCUUACUGGGCUGUAACUGACGCUGAGGCACGAAAGUGCGGGGAUCAAACAGGAUUAGAUACCCUGGUAGUCCGCACAGUAAACGAUGAUGACUCGCUGUGU
rnacentral:rRNA from 1 species